CCGACCUCGGACUUUCGAGUGGGUGGAAUUUCACCCGCUCGACGCCCUCCCCCCGCGCUCGACACCCUUCUCCCCCGCUCAACCUGUAAACGCCCCCUUUCUCCUCCUCCUCGCAUUCUAGCAUAUCUCCGUCCUCACCGGCAGAAAAAAGGGACGCAGUGGAGAGGAAGGGCCAGAGCUCCCACCAUCGCCGCUCCGCCAGUUUGCCAAUGCCAUAGUCACUGUUCCUCCACUGGUCCAUCGUUCGUCAUCGCCACAUUGGAGCCCUUGUCCAUUUCUCACUGGCAGGGAAGAGGGUUGCAGUAGGCGUGCAGGCCAGAGCUCCCACCGUCGUCACAUUAAACAGCCGGUUCACCAUUGCCACAGCAGGGUUUUUUGAAACAAGAAAGGGAUGCUAUGGAACAGGAGUUGUGGAGACUGAAUCUUGUGCAAUCCAAAGUCUAUUGGAACAUGCUCCAAUGCCAGUGUGUAUCCAUUGCUUGCAAUUUUAAAGGCCAAGUGGACUAGUUCUUGUAUCCCCUCCAUUCUCUCUCUUUCUAUAUAUAUAUAUUUAUACAAUAAUUUUGCAUUUGCAAUGUUUACUAAGUAAGUGCAUGUAGG